rnacentral:sRNA from 2 species
CCUCCACACCAUACGUCCACAGCAUGUGUGUAUGUAUGUAUGUGUUUACCGCUAAGCUAUUGGGAAUAGCACGUUAGCGAUGUGAUAAGAAAAAGAACUGGAGAGUGAGAGGCUGGUAUUUUCUUUUUCCUGUUAUGGUUGACACCGCCAACUUGCAAGGGAUCAUUGCUGUAUUCUGCGUAGCCCUGCGAUAAUGGCCACUGUCACUCUGACCAUUGCUCUUUUGUUAUCAACAAAUUAAUUCGGAGAAGUGAUGCUGGGAAAAACAAGUUUAGAUCCCUCAACUAAUUUAAUCUAACCAACUAUAUGUCUGUAC